AGGGCCACCAUUUUUAUCUGUAAGCUGCCUUGAGUCCUUGGCAGGGAAAAAGGUAGAGAACAGCUGCCUGGAUGCUUGUGGAGCGACAAGAGAAACCCGAGAACAGUGAUGACUUAGAUGCUCAUUGCGGGCAGGUGGCGCUGUUACGUGAGUGAAUAUGGGGAAGAGUGUCAUAUCACCUAGGGAUUCUUACAUUCCGCAUAUCUCAUCUUUGUCCUUCCUCUCCCAAUGAAAAGCUCUCAGGGUCUCCAUUCCAGCUGCACCAGUUGUAGAACACGGUAGCCAUUUGCAACGUUACUCAUCUUUUCUACAGUGGGGAGUUGCUCUGUAGUUUCAGUUCUGUUCCAUAUGCCCUUUUUCAUAUCCUGCAUGCAUGAGAGUCGUUACUGUUUGGCCAGCAGUGGCAAUACCCAAAGACGAGUCUGCUAUUGUGCUCCUCCUUACUUUCCCUGGGAUGUAGCGGAAGUUUGUUUGCAGUGGGGUUAUAGCGGCCACCAGGGCCUCUGUUUUUGCACAGUACAGAUUUACCCUAUAUCCCCUUGUACAAGGAAUACUCCUGCGGCCUCGCAGAUAAGGUAGUGAUGUUAAGCCAAUCCACAUUUUGUCCCUAUUCUGGUGGGAGAUACUCUGUGGCCUUGAGUGCUUUCCACGUCUUUCUUUCCUUGGGGGAGUUGGAGUAAGUGCAGGUGCCAUACUUUGAGGCAUGGUCUCCCCUUCCAUGCUUACCCGUGUGUCGUGGAGGGGGGUGCCUUGUUCUUAGACCACCAUUUGCAGGAGUGGAGAUUUUUAAUGGGUACAGUAAUACCUCCAUGACUGUCUGCCUUGUCUAGUGGCCAUUCUGGCGAACGUCCACGGUAAACCCGGAAAUACUGGAAUGGGUUACUUCCGGAUUUGUUGCUUGCGCACGUGCAGAAGUUAAAACCGCUCCGUGCACAGACACAGCACUUUGCCCUGCGUCCUUUUCAGCUAGCGACCGGGGCUCCGGAACGGAUCCCAGCCGCAAGACAAGGUACGACUGUAUUAGUGUCCUGACAUGCGCUCACAGCAGCCUAAAGAACAAAAGAUGAACAGACUCUGGGCCACAACUCGGGUAGUCAUGUUUACAGACGUUGGCCUUUGGCAAUCCAAUAUGUGGCUGUGUGCUAGGACAGGCCUGCCUGCAUGUAGGCUCUAUCUGAACCAUUACCUGCACCAUUCUACUUUUUGUAACAGCAUUUUAAGUUAACCAAUGUGUUUUACAAUCUUCUUAUCCUCACGAUGACAUUGUCAAGCAGAUCAUAGUGCUGCUUGAACAUUAUAACAAAACAAACAGUACUAGUCUCUUAAAAAUACAGUGGCAUGAACUGUCUUGAGCUAGACUCCACUUCACUAGAUGCAUCAUUCUUAGUAACCCACAAAAGCAUAUUGUUACACUUGCCAGCUUUAAACUGCUGCUGGACUGUUGUCUUAUUUCUGGUGUAAGCCAUGGUUAGCUGGCUGCCUCUUUGAUUAAAAGUGUGCCAGAGUUGUGUACUCAGUAUCAUACAAUAAGCCAUAUUCUGGUGGGCUGGUUUUUUUUUUUUUUAAGGUAUAAGACAAGGCUGUUGCCAGUUGGCUUACUGAGAAGGAAAAUGUGCUGCCAAUAUUGUGCCCAACCAAAAUGUGACACAGCCUAAGUAUUUUAAGUUGUAUAGGAGGAGAAACAAUUAAGAAUCAUGAGCCUCAGAAAUGAAUGGAUAGCAUGAGCAUGUACAGAGUGUGCUUGCCUCCGUAACAUGGAAUUUGUUUGUAUUUAAUAACUUAAGCCUAAACCCUUAGUCAUCUACGUGAUGCAUGGAAUCACUUUUUUUUUACCAAAAUUCCAAGGAAAAAAAGGGGAAAAAGACGAAAGUUAAUUUAACAGUAUCAAAUAAUUAUCAAUGUAUUGCUAAGGGCAAGGGGGGGGGGGAAUCAGGACUCAGCUACACUGGCAAAGAAAAAGCACUUUAUAUGUGUUGUUUAUCCUUUCUAACACCGUGACACCAGGUGGCGCUGUGGAGUUCUGUUUUUGCCAACCCGAUUUGUCAUAUAAAGUUUAGAACACGUUUAUG